UAUCCAAUUUAUGGAGACCGAUAAAAAAUCGAAGCUGGAAGCAGUUCCCACUACUCCCAACGAGUGAUCUCCACUCAUUCCGAGAGCCCAGAAAAAGCAACUACUCGAGCAUUUCAAGAUCAAAGACCUAUAUAAUUCCACAACACAAAGAAGGAUGUUAUCUUACUCACAUAAUAAUAUACAGGCGUGCCAUGCAGAUGAGAUUUUCUGGUAGAACA